UAACCUGCUAAAUAGCAACGUCAAGUUUGACUUGGCGGCUUGCUUCUUAGAGGGACUCUAGACAUUAAGUUUAGGGAAGUUUGAGGCAAUAACAGGUCUGUGAUGCCCUUAGAUGUUCUGGGCUGCACGCGCGCUACACUGAUGAAGUCAACGAGUUUAUUCCUUGGCCGAAAGGUCUGGGUAAUCUUUUGAAACUUCAUCGUGCUGGGGAUAGUCCAUUGCAAUUAUUGGACUUCAACGAGGAAUUCCUAGUAAGCGCAAGUCAUCAGCUUGCGUUGAUUACGUCCCUGCCCUUUGUACACACCGCCCGUCGCU
rnacentral:rRNA from 1 species